rnacentral:sRNA from 1 species
UGCCAGCAUCUUCCUGCUGCUGCUGAUCACCGUUCUGAUCUGUGCCGUGUACUCCUGUGGUUCUCUGUUCCCUAAGGCCCUGCAACGUCUGUCCCGCAGCAUUGUCCGCUCACGGGCACAUAGCACCGCAGUUGGCAUCUUUUCCGUCCUGCUAGUGUUUACUUCUGCCAUUGCCAACAUGUUCACCUGUAACUACACCCCCAUACGGACAUGUGCAGCCCGGAUGCUGAAUUUAACACCUGCUGACAUCACUGCCUGCCACCUGCAGCAGCUCAAUUACUCUCUGGGCCUGGAUGCUCCCCUGUGUGAGGGCACCAUGCCCACCUGCAGCUUCCCUGAGGUGUUCGAGCAGUGCUCAGGUGGUGGGGGGGCUGUUCUGGCACAGACAUUGGCCCUUCUGUGCCAGGCCUGGUGAUGGGCGCUGGGGACCCAGGAACUCACCAGAGUCUUCCACACUAGGAGCAACCAGGGGCUCUGGUGUGUUGUAGGGGCUGGGCAUGGAAGGUGGAGGAUUAUGGGGGUUUGAGGGGUGUGGCGGGAAGGUUAAGUCAGGCAGGAGAGUGCAGGGCUCUCCCUGCCCAAGGGUGCUGUGGCCUCUGCCUUCACCCAACGCUGCCUCUGCCACCCCCGCAGUACUUCAUCGGGAACAUGCUGCUGAGUCUCUUGGCCAGCUCUGUCUUCCUGCACAUCAGCAGCAUCGGGAAGUUGGCCAUGAUCUUUGUCUUGGGGCUCAUCUAUUUGGUGCUGCUUCUGCUGGGUCCCCCAGCCACCAUCUUUGACAACUAUGACCUACUGCUUGGCGUCCAUGGCUUGGCUUCUUCCAAUGAGACCUUUGAUGGGCUGGACUGUCCAGCUGCAGGGAGGGUGGCCCUCAAAUAUAUGACCCCUGUGAUUCUGCUGGUGUUUGCUCUGGCGCUGUAUCUGCAUGCUCAGCAGGUGGAGUCGACUGCCCGCCUAGACUUCCUCUGGAAACUACAGGCAACAGGGGAGAAGGAGGAGAUGGAGGAGCUACAGGCAUACAACCGGAGGCUGCUGCAUAACAUUCUGCCCAAGGACGUGGCGGCCCAUUUCCUGGCCCGGGAGCGCCGCAAUGAUGAACUCUACUAUCAGUCGUGUGAGUGUGUGGCGGUUAUGUUUGCCUCCAUUGCCAACUUCUCUGAGUUCUAUGUGGAGCUGGAGGCAAACAAUGAGGGUGUCGAGUGCCUGCGGCUGCUCAACGAGAUCAUCGCUGACUUUGAUGAGGUACUUUUCCAGUUGGCUGGUGGUGGCAGAGAAUGGGGGGUACUUGGAGACCUGGGAUUGGAAGGGGUGAGUGGAACUGGGAAGAGAAAGAGAGAUUUGAUGGGACCCAGAGGCAUCAGGGGUAAGGGUAGGCACAGUGGAGGCAGAGGCAAGAACCCAUGAAGGUGUCAGAGGCAGCAAGGGGGUCAGCCCUAGUGGGGCAGGGUCAUCACUGUUGGGGAGCAGGGGAGGACUUGAUCUGUAGGGGGAUAGGAUAGGUACCAGGUGGAUGUCACUGAAGAAGAAGGCAAUAGUCUGUGGACAGAACCUCAUGAGACCAACCAAGCAAGAUGGUCCUCUGAAUAGAGAAAAUUGAAGCAAAAUGUGAGGUAGUGUCCUGAACAUCCAGAUCAGGAAUGGGCUGUUCACUGUUCUGGAGGGAAGUCACUUGCUCACCCUGGGACUCAGUAUCCC